GGGCACAUGGUGUAGUUGGUUAUCACGCUCGCUUAGCAUCUGACAUUGUCACGUGACUGCGAGAGGUGUUGGGUUCAAUUCCCAAUGUGUCCA